UACGUAGGGUCCGAGCGUUGUCCGGAAUUACUGGGCGUAAAGAGCUCGUAGGUGGUUUGUCGCGUUGUUCGUGAAAACUCACAGCUUAACUGUGGGCGUGCGGGCGAUACGGGCAGACUUGAGUACUGCAGGGGAGACUGGAAUUCCUGGUGUAGCGGUGGAAUGCGCAGAUAGUCGGGAGGAACACCGGUGGCGAAGGCGGCCUGCUGGGCAGUUGCUGACACUGAGGCGCGACAGCGUGGGGAGCAACAGG
rnacentral:rRNA from 1 species